CAUGUACUCCCUCCGUUCAACAAAAGAUGUCUCAAGUUUGUUAAAAUUUGGAUGUGUCUAGACAUAACUUAGUGUAUAAAUGCAUUCAAAUUUAGUUAAAGUUGAGACAUCCUUUGUUGGACGGAAAAAUAUAUG
rnacentral:pre_miRNA from 1 species